CCGAAGUAGAGGGAAUCCAACCUUGCCCAGUCGAUGCUCAAGUGGCCCAAAGAAGCAAUCUGAAAAGGGAAGAGCUUGUUCUGAAGGAACCGCACUCAAAGGGAAUGUUUACUUUAUCAAAUCAUUCUUACUCCUUGGUUACCCCUGAUGAAACGAGCCUAUUCAUUUGACCAUUCACUAGUUUGUAAACUGCGCCUACUUCAUGCACAGAACUCCGCUCUACUGGAGGCUUGGCAUGCUCGAAAAGAAAAAAAGCGGAGUCAAUCUUUUCAAAUUCCUUGCGAACAAUACCGAAGACUUGCGGCGUGUAGUUGCUUGCGUGAGAUUUCUCAAGAUUGUAGAAAGGGGUUUUUAAAACAGGUUCCUUCCGUCUGAGAGGCUUUGCAAUCCAACUCAGUCUCCUUUGUGUGCGCGCACACGCAAGCCAAGUUUCACUUUUAAUCCCCCUGCCUUCCCGACCACGGAUAGGCUGCGGGGCUUUGCACUUCGGCCCCAUUGUGUGAAUACCACAUCAAGGUGACAGGAUUCGAACCUAUGGCCCUCUGUACCCAAAACAGAUGCGCUGACCAGACUGCGCUACACCUCGUCCCCCCCUCAGAACAUAUGGAUCUACCCGAUCGAUAAAGAAAAGAACCGCAGCGCUGUCGCCCACCCCGCUUUGGGCACGGGGAGGCGAGAACCACCGCUUUUAGGAAAGAAGCCUACAAUUUGAUUCUCGUCUCGUUUCACUUGCAUUUUNNNNNNNNNNAAUGUUUACUUUAUCAAAUCAUUCUUACUCCUUGGUUACCCCUGAUGAAACGAGCCUAUUCAUUUGACCAUUCACUAGUUUGUAAACUGCGCCUACUUCAUGCACAGAACUCCGCUCUACUGGAGGCUUGGCAUGCUCGAAAAGAAAAAAAGCGGAGUCAAUCUUUUCAAAUUCCUUGCGAACAAUACCGAAGACUUGCGGCGUGUAGUUGCUUGCGUGAGAUUUCUCAAGAUUGUAGAAAGGGGUUUUUAAAACAGGUUCCUUCCGUCUGAGAGGCUUUGCAAUCCAACUCAGUCUCCUUUGUGUGCGCGCACACGCAAGCCAAGUUUCACUUUUAAUACCCCUGCCUUCCCGACCACGGAUAGGCUGCGGGGCUUUGCACUUCGGCCCCAUUGUGUGAAUACCACAUCAAGGUGACAGGAUUCGAACCUAUGGCCCUCUGUACCCAAAACAGAUGCGCUGAC
rnacentral:lncRNA from 1 species